UCCAGAAUAGCUCUUGGAAACGGGUGGUAAUGCUGGAUGCUCCAACUUGACGCAUGUCUUGUUGGGAAAGUGUUUAGUGGCAUGGGAUGGGGUCGCGUCCUAUCAGCUUGUAGGCGGGGUAAUGGCCCACCUAGGCUUCGACGGGUAGCCGGCCUGAGAGGGCGGACGGCCACAUUGGGACUGAGAUACGGCCCAGACUCCUACGGGAGGCAGCAGGC
rnacentral:rRNA from 1 species